rnacentral:lncRNA from 1 species
ACAAUAUUUCAACUCAUAAUCACAUUGCGGUCUUGUGAAAAGUAGUAGUAUCCUAUGGAUUCUUUAGGAUACUCUGUAAAAUGAGCUAUAAUAGAUCUAUCCUCUAAUUUAUCUACCAUCUGUCUCUUGACAUAGGCUAGACAUCUCCAAGUCUUAAGGUAAUCUAGACUCAGCUUCUUACCGAAUUAUAUCUCAUACAGUGUGGUAGGAACGGACUUUGAUAAAAUCCUAUUCAACAGGUAAAUUGUGAUUAAUAAGGCAUGUCUCCAAAGAUAUAAGGGU